rnacentral:rRNA from 1 species
CCGACGGUGAGGGGUGAAAGCUGGGGGAGCAAACCGGAUUAGAUACCCGGGUAGUCCCAGCUGUAAACGAUGCGCGUUAGGUGUGUCAGUGACCACGUGUCACUGAUGUGCCGAAGGGAAACCGUGAAACGCGCCGCCUGGGGAGUACGGUCGCAAGGCUGAAACUUAAAGGAAUUGGCGGGGGAGCACCACAACGGGUGGAGCCUGCUGUUUAAUCGGACUCAACGCCGGAAAUCUCACCAGAUAA